rnacentral:rRNA from 1 species
GACGAACGCUGGCGGCGUGCUUAACACAUGCAAGUCGAACGGAAAGGCCCUGCUUUUGUGGGGUGCUCGAGUGGCGAACGGGUGAGUAGCACGUGAGUAACCUGCCCUUGACUUUGGGAUAACUUCAGGAAACUGGGGCUAAUACCGGAUAGGAGCUCCUGCUGCAUGGUGGGGGUUGGAAAGUUUCGGCGGUUGGGGAUGGACUCGCGGCUUAUCAGCUUGUUGGUGGGGUAGUGGCUUACCAAGGCUUUGACGGGUAGCCGGCCUGGGAGGGUGACCGGCCACAUUGGGACUGAGAUACGGCCCAGACUCCUACGGGAGGCAGCAGUGGGGAAUAUUGCACAAUGGGCGGAAGCCUGAUGCAGCAACGCCGCGUGCGGGAUGAAGGCCUUCGGGUUGUAAACCGCUUUCGCCUGUGACGAAGCGUGAGUGACGGUAAUGGGUAAAGAAGCACCGGCUAACUACGUG